UGUCCAGUAACUCCUAUCCCUACCUCCCCGUGGUGCCCCCUGGGAUACGAGUAACCGUAGGGAAGAUCGGGUAACCUUGGUCGUAUGCUGACAGGGAAGG
rfam:Aedes aegypti strain Liverpool supercont1.819 genomic scaffold, whole genome shotgun sequence.